UUGCUUUCAUUUUCUGAUUAAUAAAAUUCUCUCUCUUCUAGAGAGUUCUCUCUACUGCUCCUCCUUCUCUCUAAAUUCUCUCACUAUAUUCUCCAUGAUUCUUCAGUUUAAAUCUCAAAGUUUUCAUGGUAUCAGAGCAUAGACGAUGAUCUGACUAUGUUUUUCUGCAUCUUGUUUUCUUGGUUGAAGUAUCCUUUGAGAUUUUUGGGGGUGUUUCUGACGUAUGUGGUCGAUGACGAUUCCGAUCUAAAUCGGAUGCUUUUCUGAGACUUUCAUCGUGAUAUCUGAGUAUAUCUUCUUCACUCGAACGUUCUGGGAGAUUUUCUGAUGAUUUUGGGUGAUUUUUCGGUGACUUAUCAGCUUCUAGGGUUUCUGUUGGUUGAACCUAGGGUUUAACUGCUAUCUGAUGGCUCGAUCCUCACUCAGUGGAUGUUUUGGGUGACUUUCCGACAUCCCUGACCAUAUUUCCUUAUCUUGAAGUAUUGUAUGCUUUGUGUGUGAUUAUCUAACUCCGUAUGUGAGUAUCUGGUUUUGUGUGUGAAUAUCUAGUUUGGUUAUACUCUACUUGUAGAAACUGUUCUUUUAAGCCGGUUCAUUGAUUAUGGCUUCUAAUACGAAUGCUGGUACCUCCUCCUCGGUAGACUCUACCAGCCCCCUCUUUGUAUGCUCCUCUGAUGUCCCUGGGGUCUCUCUUGUCCCCACUCCCUUCUGGGGAAGUGGUUAUGGGGGUUGGAGGAGAAAAAUGAUUGUUGCAUUAUCUGCUAAAAACAAAAU
rnacentral:lncRNA from 1 species